rfam:Triticum aestivum genome assembly, contig: Triticum_aestivum_CS42_TGACv1_scaffold_222427_3B
AAGAUACUCCCUCCGUCUCAAUCUUGUCUUAGAUUUGCCUAGAUACAGAUAUAUCUAAUACUAAAACGUACUAGAUACAUUCGUAUUUAUACAAAUUUAAGACAAGAAUUUUGGGACGGAGGAAGUAUGUA